UGCCACUCCACUGCAGAAACUGGCAAGUUCUUGGCAGUAAAAAUCAAUCUCAUCUCCAGAAGUCACACUUCUUUAUCCAACCUGCCACCUCAGGCCUCCUUCUCCUCCAGGACCUGAAGCUGCCAUUCUUUUUUCUAUUUCUUCCUGCUUCUUUUUCUUUUGCUCUACAGAGUAAAUGUUCUUAAUACCUCGAGACGAAGCCUCCAUCUGCCUCUUCUCAGCAGCUUCUGCGAGCUGUCUUCUUUUUAUUUCCGGGUCGGGCGUCUCCACCACAUCCUUGACGGCGCCCCCCAUGCAGGGCAUGCACAACCCCAUGGCUACGCGGCCGCACGGCUGCCGCGCUCUGCCGAAGGGGAGGUAGGGGCCCCGCCCCGUCACAGGGCCGAGCGAGCCGGCCCGCCGGGGGCGGGGAUGGUCGGGGGAGGACUAUUGGGCGUACUGUUCUAAAUGCGGCCUCAGCGUAGCAGAGCAGGCGAAUAAUCGCGUUCCUUAGCUUGCUGAACGCGAUCCUUUUAAUGAAUCCCAGCAUACCAAUAACCUUCUUGGCCACAAGGGCAAGCUGCUGGCUCACGGCCACCAGGACACCCAGAUCCUUUUCCUCAGAACUCAAUAUCUUCUGUUUACUAUAAGUGCAUGUGUUUAUUUGUACGUACAUGUCUAAAGCAUGAGGCAUUUUUAUAAGGCUCAGUCUCAUGCGCUGCUUUCCUCCUCAAUUACUCCUCGGAUGCAUAAGGCAGAGCAGCAGUUCCACCUGGUGAAGUCAGAGAGCUGAGGGUGAAGCGUCCCAGAGGGGCUCACCGAACCCAAUUGUGGUGCCAUGAGCAGUCAUGGGACACCCAGCCCUGUGAACUCAAGUCCCUAGCCCUAUGCAGUGCCACUCUUUCAUACUACUAGGCCAAAAGGGACAAUAAUUAGUUUCCAGCUCACCUCACUCUGAUAGACCUCACACAUGACUGGGAAUUUACUGGAAGAAGUGUGCUGAAAUAAUUGGCCUUUUCAUUCUCUGGUAUUAUGCUGCCAUCCACUGACGCUAAGCAGACAGAUGCUGCUUCCACAUGCUGGGUGCACGAUGUUGUUGACAAGGCAGUAAUGAUACUGACAUUGUAUGUCAGGAGAAGUGUUUUACGAGGUCUCUGGAAAGUCUCUGAGUUCCUGAU
rnacentral:lncRNA from 1 species